rnacentral:rRNA from 1 species
CCUACGGGCGGCAGCAGUGAGGAAUAUUGGUCAAUGGGCGGAAGCCUGAACCAGCCAUGCAGCGUGCGGGAUGAAGGCCCUACGGGUUGUAAACUGCUUUUGCACGGGGAUAACACCCUCCACUUGUGGAGGUCUGCAGGUACCGUGCGAAUAAGGGCCGGCUAAUUCCGUGCCAGCAGCCGCGGUAAUACGGAAGGGCCGAGCGUUAUCCGGAUUCAUUGGGCUUAAAGGGACCGUAGGUGGUGGUUUAAGUCAGCUUUGAAAUUCCGAGGCUCAAACGCGGGCCGGCCGUUGAAACUGGAGGCCUUGAGUUCGGAUCAGGCAGGCGGAAUUCGUGGUGUAGCGGUGAAAUGCAUAGAUAUCACGAGGAACCCCGAUUGCGAAGGCAGCCUGCCGGGGUGCGACUGACGCUGAGGCUCGAAGGUGCGGGUAUCAAACAGGAUUAGAUACCCGAGUAGUC